GCUAAACGCGAAGAACCUUACCUGGGCUUGAACUGUCGGUAUAGGGACCCGAAAGGGCGACGAUCCCGGGCAACCGGGAAGCCGAUAGAGGUGCUGCAUGGCUGUCGUCAGCUCGUGUCGUGAGAUGUUGGGUUAAGUCCCGCAACGAGCGCAACCCUUGUCUUUAGUUGCCAGCGAGUCAUGUCGGGCACUCUAAGGAGACUGCCUCGGAUAACGAGGAGGAGGGUGGGGAUGACGUCAAGUCAGCAUGGCCUUUAUGUCCAGGGCUACACACGUGCUACAAUGGGCGGCACAGAAGGACGCGAGACCGCGAGGUCAAGCCAACCCUUAAAACCGUUCUCAGUUCGGAUUGCAGGCUGCAAUUCGCCUGCAUGAAGUCGGAAUCGCUAGUAAUCGCGGAUCAGCUACGCCGCGGUGAAUACGUUCUCGGGUCUUGUACACACCG
rnacentral:rRNA from 1 species